rnacentral:tRNA from 1 species
UGUAGCUCAGCAGUAAAGUGCUUGCCUAAUAUGCAUGAGGCCUGGGUUCAAUACCCAGCA